rnacentral:rRNA from 1 species
AUUGAACGCUGGCGGCAGGCCUAACACAUGCAAGUCGAGCGAGCGGCGGACGGGUGAGUAAUGUCUGGGAAACUGCCUGAUGGAGGGGGAUAACUACUGGAAACGGUAGCUAAAACCGCAUAAAAUCAGAUGUGCCCAGAUGGGAUUAGCUAGUAGGUGGGGGAACGGCUCACCUAGGCGACGAUCCCUAGCUGGUCUGAGAGGAUGACCAGCCACACUGGGACUGAGACACGGUCCAGACUCCUACGGGAGGCAGCAGUGGGGAAUAUUGCGCAAUGGGCGCAAGCCUGAUGCAGCCAUGCCGCGUGUGUGAAGAAGGCCUUCGGGUUGUAAAGCACUUUCAUCGGGGAGGCGUUACCCGCAGAGAAAGCCCCGGCUAACUCCGUGCCAGCAGCCGCGGUAAUAC